rnacentral:lncRNA from 1 species
GCAUUGAUUUGCAAAAAGAUCUGCCAGGGUUAUUAACAUAUGGGUAUUCUAAGGGGUUCUUUGUAAAUCCUCAUACAGUACAUGAGUUGUCUGAGUGGCGUAAGUUUGGAAAUAAACUAUGGGAGGAAGUUUUAAAUAAUAAUAAGACAGCUAAAAAGUUAAGAAAGUAGUGAAAGAUAGUUCACAAUGAAUUAUUACAACAUCAGGCAGAAAAGAAAGCUGCCGAGCAGAGAACUUCAGCACUAAAAAAAAAUAGAAGUUUUAACGGGGAGGAUUAGUUGCCUGGUGUUUCCAUGCCACCUGCUGUGUCUACAGUGGAGUUACCUCCAUUGCGACCUGUGCCUGAAGAUACAGAAACAGAGUUGCGUUGUGAGCCCACGGCUCCUCCAGCCCCCUCAGAACAGAAAUCGACAGUUCGUCAAAGUUUGUCUGUCAGUAAGCCGACCCCUAGGGCAGAGUCUGACCUAACGGAGGCUCUGGCCAGGGAACGGAGGGAAGUUUGGGCGACUUUGGCAAGAGAGGAGCUGGACAAAGGAGAUGGGCAGGCUUUGGAACUAGCAACAAAACUGGCUUGUCCUGUAAUUUUUCAGCAGCAGGCAGGCGGGGGGUUAACAGCUCAGAUUACACCGUUAGAUUGGAAGUUGUUGUCACAGUUGCGAGCUACAGUGAGUCAAUUUGGAGUUACUAGUGAACCGGCUAGGCAGAUAUUAGAUUAUGUUUGGAGUACUAAUAUAUUGCUACCAGGAGAUUGUAGAAGUCUUGCUAAGCUUAUUUUCUCGCCACAUCAGAGGCUUUUGUUUGGUGCACAUUGGCAGGCAGAAGUUAAUGAAGCUGUAGCUAUACAAAGACAGCCUGGAGAUCCUCUUCAUAGAGUAACUGUAAAUGAAUUGAUGGGCUUAAGACCAUAUUUUCGCACUGAGGCACAAGCUAUGUUAGGACCUGAGAAGUGUCGAGAGGCAAUGCGACUAGCUCGAAGGGCUAUAGAUAAGGUGAAAGACCCGGGAGGUUUGCCAGCGUAUAUGGGAAUUAAACAAGGAAAGGAUGAGACUUUUGGAGCAUUUAUUGAUAAAGCAGCGGCAGCAAUAGAGAGAGCUGGAGUGCCUGAGUUUAUGCGUGGAUCAUUAUUGAAGCAGUGUGCUUUGCAAAAUU